AGGGGAUUUUUUUGGGGAGGAAGUCGGGGGGUUCCGGGGGGUUUUUGGGGGGGGGGGAUGCUCAGGGUGACCCCCCCGUGCCCCCCCAGCGCAGGCUCUGGUGGCCACGUCCCCCCCCAGCCACUCCCAGAUGGAGGACGAGAUCUUCAACCAGAGCAGCAGCACCCCGACCUCCACCACGUCCAGCUCCCCGAUCCCGCCCAGCCCGGCUGCCAACGCUGUGAGUGACCCCCAAAAUAUCCAAAAAUUAUCCAAAAAUUAUCCAGAAAUAUCCCAAAAUAUCCCAAAAAUACCCCAGAAACAUCCCCCGCCUCCAGCUCCCCGAUCCCGCCCAGCCCGGCUGCAAAUGCUGUGAGUGACCCCCAAAAUAUCCCAAAAUUAUCCAAAAAUUAUCCCAAAAUAUCCCAAAAACAUCCCCCGCCUCCAGCUCCCCGAUCCCGCCCAGCCCGGCUGCCAACGCUGUGAGUGACCCCCAAAAUAUCCCAAAAUUAUCCAAAAAUUAUCCCAAAAUAUCCCAAAAAUAUCCCAGAAACAUCCACCACGUCCAGCUCCCCGAUCCCGCCCAGCCCGGCUGCCAACGCUGUGAGUGACCCCCAAAAUAUCCCAAAAUAUCCAAAAAAUAUCCCAAAAUAUCCCAAAAAUAUCCCAAAAAUAUCCCAAAAUUAUCCCAAAAUAUCCCAAAAUAUCCCAAAAUAUCCCAAAAACAUCCCCCACCUCCAGCUCCCUGAUUCCGCCCAGCCCGGCUGCAAAUGCUGUGACACCCAAAAUGUCCCAAAAUAUCCAAAAAUAACCCAAAAAUAUCCCAAAAAUACCCAAAAAUAUCCCAAAAAUACCCCAAAAUAUCCCAAAAAUACCCCAAAAUUAUCCCAAAAAUAUCCAGAAAUACCCCAAAAACAUCCCCCGCCUCCAGCACAAAAUGACCCAAAAACCACCAAAAAAGGCCCAAAAAGACCAUUAAAAAAAGCUCAAAAAAACCCAAAGAUCAUCAAAAAAACACCAAAAAUCACCAAAAAAACACCAAAAAAAGCCCCAAAAGAGCCACCAAAAAAAGCCCUAAAAAAGCUCAAAAACCACCAAAAAUCCCCCAAAAAAGUCCAAAAUAACCCCCCCAAAAAUAACUAAAAAAACUCCAACAUGCUCAAAAAAAUCCCCCCAAAUCAACAAAAAAAGCCCAAGAAAACCCCCCAAAAAAACCCCCAAAAAACCCCAAUAAAUCCCCAAAAACCACAGAAAAAUCUCA
rnacentral:lncRNA from 1 species